rnacentral:rRNA from 1 species
UCUGUCUACGGGAGGCAGCAGUGGGGAAUAUUGCACAAUGGGGGAAACCCUGAUGCAGCGACGCCGCGUGAGUGAAGAAGUAUCUCGGUACGUAAAGCUCUAUCAGCAGGGAAGAAAAUGACGGUACCUGACUAAGAAGCCCCGGCUAACUACGUGCCAGCAGCCGCGGUAAUACGUAGGGGGCAAGCGUUAUCCGGAUUUACUGGGUGUAAAGGGUGCGUAGGCGGGAUGUCAAGUCAGCGGUAAAAAUGCGGUGCUCAACGCCGUCGAGCCGUUGAAACUGGCGUUCUUGAGUG